ACCUGGUGAUCCUACCAGUAGUCAUAUGCUUGUCUCAAAUAUUAAGUCAUGCAUGUGUAAGUAUGAACUAAUUCAGACUGUGAAAUUAUGAAUGGCUUAUUAAAUCAGUUAUAGCUUGUUUGAUGGUACCUGCUACUCAGAUAACUAUAGUAAUUCUAAAGCUAAUAUGUGUAACAAAGCCCAACUUCUAAAAGGGAUGAUUUUUUAGAUAAAAGGUCGAUGCGGCUUUGGUCGUUGCUCUGAUGAUUCAUGAUAACUUGAUAGAUCGCAAGGCCUUUGCAUCGAUGACACAUCAUUCAAAUUUCUUCCGCAUCAACUUUCGAUGGUAAGAUAGUGGGCUACCAUGUUGGUGACUGGUGAUAGAGAAUUAGGGUUCGAUUCUGGAGGAGGAGCCUGAGAAACAGCUACCACAUCAAAGGAAGGAAGUAGGCAUGCAAAUUAUUCAAUCCUGACAUAGGGACAUAGUGAUAAAAAUAACAAUACCGGGCUCUUCGAGUCUGGUAAUUGGAAUGAGUACAAUCUAAAUUCCUUAAUGAGGAUCUAUUGAAGGGUAAGUCUGGUGCCAGCAAUCGCGGUAAUUCCAGCUCCAAUAGCAUAUAUUUAAGUUGUUUCAAUUAAAAAGCUCGUAGUUGGACCUUAGAGUGGGCCAACCUAUCCACCUUGUGGUGUGCACUGGUCGUCCUGCUCUUUCUACAGGCGAUGCGCUCCUGGGCUUAAUUGGCCAAGUCAUACCACUAACACUGCUACUUUGAAGAAAUUAGAGCGCUCAAAGCAGGCCCAAGCUUUGGAUACAUUACCAUGGGAUAACAACAUAGGAUUUCAGUCGUGUUGCCCUUUAGGAUCGGAGUAAUGAUUAACAAGGACAGUCAGGGGCAUUUAUAUUACAUAGUCAGAGGUGACAUUCUUAGAUUUAUGAAAGAUGAACAACUGCGAAAGCAUUUGCCAAGGAUUUUUUCAUUAAUCAAUAAUGAAAGUUGGCCACUUGAAGACGAUCAAAUACCGUCCCAGCCUCAACCAUAAACGAUGCCGACCAAGGAUCGGCGUUUGCUGCUUUUAGGACACCACCGACACCUUAUGCGAAAUCAAAGCUUUCGAUUUCGAGAGGAGUAUAGUUGUAUGGCUAAACCUUAAAGGAAUUGACGAAAAGGUGGCUCCAGGAGUGGAGCCUACGGCUUAAUUUGAUUUACCACGAGGAAACUUACUAAGUCUAGAUAUAGUAAGGAUUGAUAGACUGAGAGCUCUUUCUUGAUUCCAUGGGUGGUGGUGCACGAUGAUUCUUAGCUGGUGGAGCGAUAUAUCUGGUUAAUUCUGUCAACAAACGAGACCUCAGCCUACUAACUAGCUAUGUAGAGGGAACCCUCCACAACUAGCUUCUUAGAGGGACAAUGGCCUUCUAGGCCACGGAAGUUUGAGGCAAUAACAACCUGUGAUGCCCUUAGAUGUUGUCGGCCGCAUACGUGCUACACUGAUGUAUUCAACGAGUCUAUAGACUUGGCCGAUAGGCCCGGGUUAUCUUUAAAAUUUCAUCAUGGUGGGGAUGGAUCAUUGCAAUUGUUGGACUUCAACGAGGAAUUCCGGGUAAGCAUGAGUCAUCAACUCACAUCGGCUACGUUAUUGCCCUUUGUACACACCGUCGUUGCUCCUAUCGAUUGAAUGGUCCAGUGAAAUCCUCGGAUCGCAGUGAGGUAGGUGAUUCGCUGUCGGUAACUUCGGGAGAAGUCCAUUGAACCUUACCAUUCAAAGGAAGGAGAAGUCAUAACAAGGUUUCCAUAGGUGAAUCUACAGAAG
rnacentral:rRNA from 1 species